CGAGAUUCCCCUAGUAGCGGCGAGCGAACGGGGAGCAGCCCAGAGUCUUAAUCAAUAGCAGUGUCAGGAGAACGGUCUGGAAAGUCCGGCAGUAAAGGGUGAUAGCCCCGUAUCUGAAGAUGCUGUUAUUGUGAACUCGACGAGUAGGGCGGGACACGUGUUAUCCUGUCUGAAUAUGGGGGGACCAUCCUCCAAGGCUAAAUACUCCUGAUUGACCGAUAGUGAACCAGUACCGUGAGGGAAAGGCGAAAAGAA
rnacentral:rRNA from 1 species